rnacentral:rRNA from 1 species
UACGUAGGGUGCAGGCGUUAAUCGGAAUUACUGGGCGUAAAGCGUGCGCAGGCGGGUUCUUAAGUCAGAUGUGAAAGCCCCGGGCUUAACCUGGGAACUGCGUUUGAAACUGGGAGACUUGAGUGUGGCAGAGGGGGGUGGAAUUCCACGUGUAGCAGUGAAAUGCGUAGAUAUGUGGAGGAACACCGAUGGCGAAGGCAGCCCCCUGGGUUAACACUGACGCUCAUGCACGAAAGCGUGGGGAGCAAACAGG